AGUGAACGCUGGCGGUAGGCCUAACACAUGCAAGUCGAACGGCAGCACAGGAGAGCUUGCUCUCUGGGUGGCGAGUGGCGGACGGGUGAGGAAUACAUCGGAAUCUACUCUGUCGUGGGGGAUAACGUAGGGAAACUUACGCUAAUACCGCAUACGACCUACGGGUGAAAGCAGGGGACCUUCGGGCCUUGCGCGAUUGAAUGAGCCGAUGUCGGAUUAGCUAGUUGGCGGGGUAAAGGCCCACCAAGGCGACGAUCCAUAGCUGGUCUGAGAGGAUGAUCAGCCACACUGGAACUGAGACACGGGCCAGACUCCUACGGGAGGCAGCAGUGGGGAAUACUGGACAAUGGGCGCAAGCCUGAUCCAGCCAUACCGCGUGGGUGAAGAAGGCCUUCGGGUUGUAAAGCCCUUUUGUUGGGAAAGAAAUCCAGCUGGCUAAUACCCGGUUGGGAUGACGGUACCCAAAGAAUAAGCACCGGCUAACUUCGUGCCAGCCGCCGCAGUAA
rnacentral:rRNA from 1 species